UAGGUUGGCUCCCUGGCGACAUAACCUUAACCAUUUUACUGUUCUGUGACCUCAUAUCAUUUGUUUACAUUUAGAUUUUGGGUGUGAAUUUAUUAAUUGUGUUAAUUGUGUUUAAUUCAACGAACAUGGAGAAACCAAAUAAUAUUUUAAGCUACUGGUAUUUUAGGUACCUAUUAAUUACCGAAUUAUUUAUGGUAGAAAAAUGGGAAAGAGCCAUGUUUCAUAUUGUAUUAUUUAUAAUCCUAACAGCAUUAUCUUUAUUUAAUACAACUGUGAUUGUGGGGCUGGUCUCCUAUACAACAAGAACAUUCCUUUGGAGUAAUGGAUAUGUAGGAAUAAAUGAUAACUCUGUUAAUAUUAUCCAAAGUGAACUAUGAUAGAUUACAAUAUUAAUAUUUGUACCUUGAGCUGCAGUUACGUUUAUGUGUGGUUUAUAAUGACAUUUCUAUGUAUAUUUAUUGCUUAUUCAAUUCAAUAGAAGUAAACAUUAAUGA